GAAAAUAGGAGGUAGAAAGAGAGGGAAAGUGCUAACAGACAUUUGCCACACAGAUCAUUUACUAAUGGCAAUUUAACAAAAUUAAUAAGAAACAAACUCUUAAACUAG